rnacentral:misc_RNA from 1 species
CAGUGGAACCUGUUCAGGAAAAGGUGUUGCCGCUGAAAUUGUUGCAUUUCUACAGGGCUGAUGUGUAGAGUUUGGCACAAGCAAGCCCCAGUUUCUGAAUCUUGUAUUUUACUUUAUUUUCGUUGGUAGGAUGUAGGUUUGUCUGUAGCAUAAUAGUGAUGACCCUUAUUAAGAAAUGGAUAAUAUGGGUGGUAGAAAUAGGGUUAUGAAGUCAUAUAGCUUUGUGGAUAGCCGUCUUGUAUGGCAAUGAAUAGGCCUGUUGUCUAACCAGGGUUGGGGGAAUACAUGGGUGUACAUUGCUGACAUUUGUCUGCUCUGUAAAUGAGUUGUAAUGGUUCGACUCUCAAAUGUUGAAAAUUUGAGCGUAUCUCUUCUUUAUUAUAGUAAAUAAAUCAAGC